rnacentral:rRNA from 1 species
AUUGAACGCUGGCGGCAUGCUUUACACAUGCAAGUCGAACGGUAACAGGCCGCAAGGUGCUGACGAGUGGCGAACGGGUGAGUAAUGCAUCGGAACGUGCCCAGUCGUGGGGGAUAACUACUCGAAAGAGUAGCAAAUACCGCAUACGAUCUAUGGAUGAAAGCGGGGGACCGUAAGGCCUCGCGCGAUUGGACCGGCCGAUGUCAGAUUAGGUAGUUGGUGGGGUAAAGGCUCACCAAGCCAACGAUCUGUAGCUGGUCUGAGAGGACAACCAGCCACACUGGGACUGAGACACGGCCCAGACUCCUACGGGAGGCAGCAGUGGGGAAUUUUGGACAAUGGGCGCAAGCCUGAUCCAGCAAUGCCGCGUGCAGGAAGAAGGCCUUCGGGUUGUAAACUGCUUUUGUACGGAACGAAACGGCUCUGGUUAAUACCCGGGGCUAAUGACGGUACCGUAAGAAUAAGCACCGGCUAACUACGUG